CCUAACAUCCAGACUCUCUUCAGGAAGGACUACAAGGGACUCCGGAAAUAAGGAGGGGAUGCCUGGGCUUGCUGUAUCAGCAUGAACUUCUGAGUUCAGAUCCCCAGCCUUGUUUCUGUAGCAGCAUGAUUAUGAGUUUUACACGGAUGAGUUGCUGUUGAGAAAAGACAAUGAUCAGAAGUAAUCACCGAAGGAGAAUGUGACCAGUCAGGAAAUCAUCCAGAAAAUUAAAAUACAACUCCCAUUUCUGGUGACGGCUUGGCAAGUAACUUUGAAGAGGAAGUGAGAGAAGUGCGAGAGAAAAACAUCAGGGACCAGAGAAGCCUGGCCCCAGAGCUGAGGCUUCUGGGAGGAAGCCAGGGUAAAGGACAGGAGUUGAGGACAUGGAGCUUAGAGUCUUGGGUUUUAACACAUCCAGCAGAUGGGUGACCCUGGAGGAGUCAUGGAAGGGAUAUAUAGGUUUUUCAUUUCCUCCACAGAAAAGACAACAUAAGAAUUUGGCUAACAUGAAGAUAGCUUAUGAUUUUUUAGUCAUUAAUAUGUGCUUCAGUACAGAAUUCAAUGUUUUUCUGCUGUGAACUAACUGUAUUCCCAUUACAAAUCUUUCCCAUUUCCUAAUCUUUUGUCUUCUCAAAAAAUAUUGAAAGGGCUAAGGAGGUGACUCUGUGGGUGAAAUGUCUGCUGUGUAAGCAUGAGGUCCUGAGUUCAGAUCCCCAGAAGCCAUGUAAAGCCGGAUGGAGUAGUGUGUGUCUGCAGACCCAGUGCUCUUUAUGACAAGAUGAGAAGCAGAUAAGGGACUAUCCCCAGAAGCUCAUGGGCCAGACAGCCUGACAUAUGCAAUGGCAAACACUAAGAAACCCUGGAUCAAACAAAGUUGAAAGUGAAAAAAUCAACACCUGA